GGCGAUCAGAUACCGCCCUAGUUCUGACCGUAAACGAUGCCAACUAGCGAUCCGCCAGUCGACUCAUCGCUCUGGUGGGGAGCUUCCCGGAACGAAAGUCUUCCGGUUCCGGGGGAAGUAUGGUUGCAAAGCUGAACUUAAAGGAAUUGACGGAAGGGCACCACCAGGAGUGGAGCCUGCGGCUUAAUUUGACUCAACACGGGGAAACUCACCCGGGCCCGGACACCGUAAGGAUUGACAGAUUGAUAGCUUUUUCAUGAUUCGGUGGAUGGUGGUGCAUGGCCGUUCUUAGUUCGUGGAGCGAUUUGUCUGGUUUAUUCCGAUAACGAGCGAGACUCUGGCCUACUAAAUAGUUGGUACAUUGCCACUGUGUGCACAACUUCUUAGAGGGAUUUUCGGUGUUCAGCCGCACGAAAUUGAGCAAUAACAGGUCUGUGAUGCCCUUAGAUGUCCGGGGCUGCACGCGCGCUACACUGGCAAAAUCAGCGUGCUUGUCCUCCCCCGAAAGGGGUUGGUAAACCGAUGAAAAUUUGCCGUGAUUGGGAUCGGACAUUGCAAUUAUUGUCCGUGAACGGGGAAUCCCUUGUAAGGGCGAGUCAUCAACUCGUCCUGAAUACGUCCCUGCCCUUUGUA
rnacentral:rRNA from 1 species